rnacentral:rRNA from 1 species
ACAAGCGGUGGAGCAUGUGGUUAAUUCGACGCAACGCGAGAACCUUACCAGGGCUUGACAUCCCCUGACCGCGUAUGAAAGUACGAAUUCACCUUCGGGUGACAGGGAGACAGGUGGUGCAUGGUUGUCGUCAGCUCGUGUCGUGAGAUGUUGGGUUAAGUCCCGCAACGAGCGCAACCCCUACGUUUAGUUGCUAACGCGUGAAGGCGAGCACUCUAGACGAACUGCCGUUGACAAAACGGAGGAAGGUGGGAUGACGUCAAAUCAUCAUGCCCCUUAUGUUCUGGGCUACACACGUGCUACAAUGGCCGGUACAGACGGACGCAAAGCCGCGAGGUGGAGCAAAUCCUAAAAAGCCGGUCUCAGUUCGGAUUGCAGGCUGCAAUUCGCCUGCAUGAACGUCGGAAUCGCUAGUAAUCGCAGGUCAGCACUACUCGCGGUGAAUAACGUUACCCGGGCCUU